GAUGAACGCUAGCGGCAGGCCUAAUACAUGCAAGUCGAACGGUAAGUAUGAUAGCAAUAUUGUACCAAGAGUGACGUACGGGUGCGUAACACGUAUGCAACCUACCCUUUACAGAUGGAUAGCUCGGGGAAACUCGAGUUAACCCGUCAUAAUAUAAUUGAAUGGCAUCAUUGGUUAUUAAUCUACGGAGGUAAGGAUGGGCAUGCGUCUGAUUAGUUAGUUGGCGGGGUAACGGCCCACCAAG
rnacentral:rRNA from 1 species